rnacentral:rRNA from 1 species
GGUUAAGCGAAUAAGCGUACACGGUGGAUGCCUAGGCAAUCAGAGGCGAUGAAGGACGUGCUAAUCUGCGAAAAGCGUCGGUAAGGUGAUAUGAACCGUUAUACCCGACGAUAUCCGAAUGGGGAAACCCAGUAUCCAAUGGAUACUAUCAUUAACUGAAUCCAUAGGUUAAUGAGGCGAACCGGGAGAACUGAAACAUCUCAGUACCCCGAGGAAAAGAAAUCAACCGAGAUUCCCCUAGUAGCGGCGAGCGAACGGGGAGCAGCCCAGAGUCUUAAUCAAUAACAGUGUCAGGAGAACGGUCUGGAAAGUCCGGCAGUAAAGGGUGAUAGCCCCGUAUCUGAAGAUGCUGUUAUUGUGAACUCGACGAGUAGGGCGGGACACGUGUUAUCCUGUCUGAAUAUGGGGGGACCAUCCUCCAAGGCUAAAUACUCCUGAUUGACCGAUAGUGAACCAGUACCGUGAGGGAAAGGCGAAAAGAACCCCGGCGAGGGGAGUGAAAAAGAACCUGAAACCGUGUACGUACAAGCAGUAGGAGCCUCUUUAUGGGGUGACUGCGUACCUUUUGUAUAAUGGGUCAGCGACUUAUAUUCUGUAGCAAGGUUAACCGUAUAGGGGAGCCGUAGGGAAACCGAGUCUUAACUGGGCGAAUGAGUUGCAGGGUAUAGACCCGAAACCCGGUGAUCUAUCCAUGGGCAGGUUGAAGGUUGGGUAACACUAACUGGAGGACCGAACCGACUAAUGUUGAAAAAUUAGCGGAUGACUUGUGGAUGGGGGUGAAAGGCCAAUCAAACCGGGAGAUAGCUGGUUCUCCCCGAAAGCUAUUUAGGUAGCGCCUCGUGAAUUCAUCUUCGGGGGUAGAGCACUGUUUCGACUAGGGGGUCAUCCCGACUUACCAACUCGAUGCAAACUGCGAAUACCGAAGAAUGUUAUCACGGGAGACACACGGCGGGUGCUAACGUCCGUCGUGAAGAGGGAAACAACCCAGACCGCCAGCUAAGGUCCCAAAGUCAUGGUUAAGUGGGAAACGAAGUGGGAAGGCUCAGACAGCCAGGAUGUUGGCUUAGAAGCAGCCAUCAUUUAAAGAAAGCGUAAUAGCUCACUGGUCGAGUCGGCCCGCGCGGAAGAUGUAACGGGGCUAAACCAUGCACCGAAGCUGCGGCAGCGACACAAAGUGUUGUUGGGUAGGGGAGCGUUCUGUAAGCCUGCGAAGGUGUACUGUGAGGUAUGCUGGAGGUAUCAGAAGUGCGAAUGCUGACAUAAGUAACGAUAAUGCGGGUGAAAAACCCGCACGCCGGAAGACCAAGGGUUCCUGUCCAACGUUAAUCGGGGCAGGGUGAGUCGACCCCUAAGGCGAGGCUGAAAAGCGUAGUCGAUGGGAAACGGGUUAAUAUUCCCGUACUGGUGGUAACUGCGAUGGGGGAACGGAGAAGGCUAGGUUGUCCGGGCGACGGUCGUCCCGGUUCAAGCAGGUAGGCAGAGUGAUUAGGCAAAUCCGGUCACUUAAUGCUGAGAUGUGAUGACGAACCACUAAGGUGGUGAAGCAAUUGAUGCCCCGCUUCCAGGAAAAGCCUCUAAGCUUCAGGUUACCAACAAUCGUACCCCAAACCGACACAGGUGGUCAGGUAGAGAAUACUCAGGCGCUUGAGAGAACUCGGGUGAAGGAACUAGGCAAAAUGGUGCCGUAACUUCGGGAGAAGGCACGCUGGCGGUAGGUAAAGUCCCUCGCGGACGGCGCCCAAGCCAGUCGAAGAUACCAGCUGGCUGCAACUGUUUAUUAAAAACACAGCACUGUGCAAACACGAAAGUGGACGUAUACGGUGUGACGCCUGCCCGGUGCUGGAAGGUUAAUUGAUGGGGUUAGCGCAAGCGAAGCUCCUGAUCGAAGCCCCAGUAAACGGCGGCCGUAACUAUAACGGUCCUAAGGUAGCGAAAUUCCUUGUCGGGUAAGUUCCGACCUGCACGAAUGGCGUAAUGAUGGCCAGGCUGUCUCCACCCGAGACUCAGUGAAAUUGAACUCGCUGUGAAGAUGCAGUGUACCCGCGGCAAGACGGAAAGACCCCGUGAACCUUUACUAUAGCUUGACACUGAACAUUGAGCCUUGAUGUGUAGGAUAGGUGGGAGGCUUUGAAGUGUGGACGCCAGUCUGCAUGGAGCCAACCUUGAAAUACCACCCUUUAACGUUUGAUGUUCUAACCUAGGCCCAUAAACUGGGUCGGGGACCGUGUCUGGUGGGUAGUUUGACUGGGGCGGUCUCCUCCUAAAGAGUAACGGAGGAGCACGAAGGUUGGCUAAGCAUGGUCGGACAUCAUGCGGUUAGUGCAAAGGCAUAAGCCAGCUUGACUGCGAGAGUGACGGCUCGAGCAGGUACGAAAGUAGGUCUUAGUGAUCCGGUGGUUCUGAAUGGAAGGGCCAUCGCUCAACGGAUAAAAGGUACUCCGGGGAUAACAGGCUGAUACCGCCCAAGAGUUCAUAUCGACGGCGGUGUUUGGCACCUCGAUGUCGGCUCAUCACAUCCUGGGGCUGAAGUAGGUCCCAAGGGUAUGGCUGUUCGCCAUUUAAAGUGGUACGCGAGCUGGGUUUAGAACGUCGUGAGACAGUUCGGUCCCUAUCUGCCGUGGGCGUUGGAAGAUUGAGAGGGGUUGCUCCUAGUACGAGAGGACCGGAGUGAACGCACCACUGGUGUUCGGGUUGUCAUGCCAAUGGCAUUGCCCGGUAGCUAAGUGCGGAAGAGAUAACCGCUGAAAGCAUCUAAGCGGGAAACUUGCCUCGAGAUGAGUCUUCCCUGUCGCUUUAAGCGACCUAAAGGAACGUUUAAGACUAAGACGUUGAUAGGCUGGGUGUGUAAGCGUAGCGAUACGUUGAGCUAACCAGUACUAAUGAACCGUGAGGCUUAACCUG